CAUUUAUCGCCAACACAAUAUUGUUAAAAUAGUUAAAAAUACAACGAACACGUAUUUAUUUUCUAACUUGCCGGGUCCUCGUGUUGAACAGAACCUAGUACAAUGUUUUAAUAGGCACUCAGAGCUCGUGACUUAGCCGAGAAUAUAAUAUUAAAGUCGAGUUUUUAUUUAUUAAAAAUGUCUCUGGACGAUUUAUUUUAUUUUAAAGCGCUCGGAUAAUAAUGACCGUAAUGAUAGUGAAUCAUCAUCAUGAGACAUCCCGUUUAUAUUGUAUGCAAAGCGAUAUUACUAUUGCCAGAAAUUCAGCUUAAAUAUCAUAGACGUCAAACCGUAAUCCCGAAAACGAAUACGAUUGUAAAAAUUAUAUUAUUCGGUUAAGAUAUGACGAAAAAAAACCCUACUGACUUU